GAUGAACGCUGGCGGCGUGCCUAAUACAUGCAAGUCGAGCGAACAGACGAGGAGCUUGCUCCUCUGACGUUAGCGGCGGACGGGUGAGUAACACGUGGAUAACCUACCUAUAAGACUGGGAUCACUUCGGGAAACCGGAGCUAAUACCGGAUAAUAUAUUGAACCGCAUGGUUCAAUAGUGAAAGACGGUUUUGCUGUCACUUAUAGCUGGAUCCGCGCCGCAUUAGCUAGUUGGUAAGGUAACGGCUUACCAAGGCAACGAUGCGUAGCCGACCUGAGAGGGUGAUCGGCCACACUGGAACUGAGACACGGUCCAGACUCCUAAGGGAGGCAGCAGUAGGGAAUCUUCCGCAAUGGGCGAAAGCCUGACGGAGCAACGCCGCGUGAGUGAUGAAGGUCUUCGGAUCGUAAAACUCUGUUAUUAGGGAAGAACAAAUGUGUAAGUAACUAUGCACGUCUUGACGGUACCUAAUCAGAAAGCCACGGCUAACUACGUG
rnacentral:rRNA from 1 species